UGUAAGGCGCCGAAUGAGUCAUUAUAAAAUUAACAUCAUCCGAUCCCUAGUCGGCAUAGUUUAUGGUUAAGACUACGACGGUAUCUGAUCGUCUUCGAUCCCCUAACUUUCGUUCUUGAUUAAUGAAAACAUCCUUGGCAAAUGCUUUCGCAGUAGUUAGUCUUCAAUAAAUCCAAGAAUUUCACCUCUGACAUUGAAUACUAAUGCCCCCAACUAUCCCUAUUAAUCAUUUACGUCAAUCCUAAGAAACCAACAAAAUAGGAUCGAACGUCCUAUUCAUUAUUCCAUGCUAAUGUAUUCAAGCGUUAGCCUG
rnacentral:rRNA from 1 species